UGUUUAAACGACUUUUGGCAACGGAUAUCUUGGCUCUUGCAUCGAUGAAGAACGUAGCGAAAUGCGAUACUUGGUGUGAAUUGCAGAAUCCCGUGAACCAUCGAGUCUUUGAACGCAAGUUGCGCCCGAAGCCAUUAGGCCGAGGGCACGCCUGCCUGGGCGUCACACG
rnacentral:rRNA from 2 species